CUGGGAUUUUGCAGAGAGAACUGGAACAAUACCGUCUGCUUAGUGGGCCGACCUGAUAGAUUGGCAGUCAUCCUGGUAUGCAUGCACUGGAAGGGCACAAAUGUGCCCAAGGCCCAUUGCACAUAGAUGGGGCCUCCUAGCUCAUUUUGUAUCGACAUUCUAUGCCCUAUUACCCAUAGGAUUGAUUCCCUGGGCCCUGUUACCACUAGGAUU